ACCUAUUUAAUUAGUCUCAUUUUUACAAUCCUCUUUCAUUCACUCACUUGCAUUCCAAUUACUGAUUCUAUUUUCCAUCUUCUUCCUCUCUUCUCAUUAUGCACAGAGUCUUUCUCUGGGUUAAUUCGAUACAAUUCAAAUCGU
ensembl:ncRNA B0336.16 ncRNA